rnacentral:piRNA from 1 species
UAAGCAACCACAUAAUUUGAUAGGAUUUA